rnacentral:misc_RNA from 1 species
AAACAAUUAUGGAUAAAUUUAUAUCAUUCUGUAUUUGACUUGAUGAUAACAGAAUCGAGCAGAAAAAUUCUGAAGCAAACCAAGAGAGCAAUCCUUCAAUUGAGCUGUACUCCACAAGCUCCAUUGCUCAAAUGCUCCAUGAUGCUCCAAAAUUAUAGAUUCAAACAGAAAAAUUAUGAAACCAAGAGAAAUAUCCCAAGUUAAGCUAAUGCUCCACAAGCUCCAUUGCUCAUAUGCUCCAAGAUGCUCCACAAGCAAAAAUUAUUUGAACUAAUAUUUGAUCUCCUCAUCCACUCAAAAUUUUUGCAGAUGAUAGCUCUUCUGAGAGUGAGGAAGAACCUCCAACUAUACAUAAAACCCAAAUACUCCACCCUGACUUGUCCCACUCCCCCAAAUACAUCCCUAUGUAUGAUUCCAAAGCUCAUUUUUGUUCCAAGCGCUUGAAAUCUAUCAUAAAGAAAGCAUUUAUGUCAUAAGAUGAGGUGAGAUCGCGACAUACUAAUGCAUUUUCCCUUUUCUUAAUUAUUUUAAAGAUCACUGAGAAAUUAU